UACGUAGGGUGCGAGCGUUGUCCGGAAUUAUUGGGCGUAAAGAGCUCGUAGGCGGUCCGUCACGUCGGGUGUGAAAAUCCAGGGCUCAACUCUGGACCUGCAUCCGAUACGGGCGGACUAGAGUUCGGUAGGGGAGACUGGAAUUCCUGGUGUAGCGGUGAAAUGCGCAGAUAUCAGGAGGAACACCGGCGGUGUAGACGGCUUUCUGGACCGUAGCUGACGCUGAGACACGAAAGCGUGGGUAGCAAACAGG
rnacentral:rRNA from 1 species